rnacentral:rRNA from 1 species
UACACACGUGCUACAAUGGUGGCUACAAUGGGCUGCAAAGUCGCGAGGCUAAGCUAAUCUCUUAAAAGCCAUCUCAGUUCGGAUUGUACUCUGCAACUCGAGUGCAUGAAGUUGGAAUCGCUAGUAAUCGUGGAUCAGCAUGCCACGGUGAAUACGUUCUCGGGUCUUGUACACACUGCCCGUCACGCCAUGG